rnacentral:tRNA from 1 species
UUCUAAUUAGUUUAACUUAAAACAUCUACUUUGGAUGUAGAAAACAAUUAUAUGAAU